rnacentral:rRNA from 1 species
AGUGAACGCUGGCGGUAGGCCUAACACAUGCAAGUCGAACGGCAGCACAGAGGAGCUUGCUCCUUGGGUGGCGAGUGGCGGACGGGUGAGGAAUACAUCGGAAUCUACUCUGUCGUGGGGGAUAACGUAGGGAAACUUACGCUAAUACCGCAUACGACCUACGGGUGAAAGCAGGGGAUCUUCGGACCUUGCGCGAUUGAAUGAGCCGAUGUCGGAUUAGCUAGUUGGCGGGGUAAAGGCCCCCCAAGGCGACGAUCCGGAGCUGGUCUGAGAGGAAGAUCAGCCACACUGGAACUGAGACACGGUCCAGACUCCUACGGGAGGCAGCAGUGGGGAAUAUUGGACAAUGGGCGCAAGCCUGAUCCAGCCAUACCGCGUGGGUGAAGAAGGCCUUCGGGUUGUAAAGCCCUUUUGUUGGGAAAGAAAUCCAUCUGGUUAAUACCCGGGUGGGAUGACGGUACCCAAAGAAUAAGCACCGGCUAACUUCGUGCCAGCCGCCGCCGUAA